CGCGCAGACCGCCUUAUCGUCGUUCCGAUUUAUCGGGAGGGAGGAAAGUCCGGACACCACAGAGAAGCAUAGCGGGUAACCCCCGUCGGUCUUAGAAAUAGGGCAAGGACAAGUGCAACAGAAAGUAUGUACAGGUAAUGCUGUAGUGAAACCAGGUAAACUCUAUGCGGUGAAAUACCAAGUAUAUCAGCAUUUAAGGGCUUCUCGUUCGUUGCUGAAGGGUAGGUAGCUUGAGUCUCGCAGUAAUGCGGGAUCUAGAUAAAUGAUAAGGCUCUGAUUUAUCAGAGACAGAAUCCGGCUUAUAGGUCUGCAUUUUUU
rnacentral:RNase_P_RNA from 1 species